rnacentral:lncRNA from 1 species
CUGGUUUUAUAACUGCACGGCAAAUUAAAGAGCUCUGCUGUUCUAUAAUUACGUCCUGUUUUAAACUCGGAUUGCACCUCUGCAGUACAUGAAUAAUGUUGCAGGAAAGGAAACUUUUCUCUUGUGUUUCCCGACUGGAAGAUGAUGGAACCGCACCCUCAGGGCCUGAGGGGAGGGGAUGAGCGUGAGGGAGGCCGCGGCGGCCCUCAGCUCCUUCCCUUUCCCCAGGGCCCGGCAGAGCUCGCUGGCCACAGGCAAGAUACAAGGAAAUGUUGCCCCUGAGAGAACAAAUUCUCAAUCUCUGUGGCGUUAAACAUUUUAAAUGAUUGUGGUUAAACGUCUGCAGACCGUGCCCGUGGUCACCGCGCCGGUGCUUCCCGCCAUCGAAACGGGGAGAACUAAUGGUACCUGGAUGCUGGCAACACUGAGCUGCUUCUGAAAAACAAAGCAGACUGGAAAUUCCCUGCUCCUGAAGUACCCAAGUUUUCAGGUACUUCCUAUGUGAACCUAUUUGUGCACCAAAGACGCUUCCUGACAUACAAAGUUUUUCUACACCAGACUAGUGGAGACACUUUUGCUCUAGUUUGCAUCUCAGUGGAAAAAUUUAUUUGCACGACUUUGGUUUUGAAAAUUAUGGGUGAGUUUUGUAGUUUGUUAAUCCAUGAGCGCUCUCAGCAGCCAUUGUCUAAGCCUAG